rnacentral:lncRNA from 1 species
UGGGAGCCUUCUCCUUUGGGAAGUUGAAUGUAGAAACUCGGGGUGAGCGGAUCGUCGACAGUGACAUCUACCAAGACUUUGAUAGUACGGGUCCACUGGGUGUUAUCCAUGCUUGCUUCAUCGACGUCGUAGAGGUGAGGGAAAUAUGUUGUGGCUAUUUCCUCGACAGUUUCUUCUGAUCUAUAUUUCCAUGGUAUGUCAUGGACCUGUACCCAUAUUGGUAUGUUCUUGAAGCAGGCCUCCUCGGCUCCCCCAUUCCCGGCCCAGCGUUUUACCGCUAUCAAUGCUCCUGAAAUUCCAUAAGGUUGGUGGGCUAUGGAAUAUUCAAGUUGAUCAUUGUCGACCAUUGUCAUGACGAAGACUUCUAGGUGGAACUGGAGUUCUUUCACAUUGUGUAGGCCGAAGCUAUCCCAGUGCCUCUGAGUCACUCUGAUGACCGCUCCUUUGUGCGGCAUCCUAGUUCCGAAGCAACGUCCGACCAGCAGAGGGCCCUUCUGAGCUGUGCCUUUCUCCCUUGGUGGUGGGAUGGGCUGAGCUUGAUUCUGGAUGGACGUCCUGGGAUAGGUACGGUGUUGUUGAAAUCGUUGCUGGGUGCUGCAAUUUCCUACCAGUCGAUUCAUUUUUCUUCGGUGCUUAGGGUUGGUUGGUUUGGAAGAUGGUUUUUUAGGUGGCUUUCGAUUGAUGAUGUGAAUGGCUCUUGGGGUGGAGAGGGGUAUUUGUGGGUAUGGCCGCGGGUUCCCAAAAGUAGUAAUAAAUCCUUAAUGAUGCACGUAGACGUAAUGAUUGUGGCCAUUUGAAUAUGAGCGAGUUGAAUGGCUGAGAGAGGGGGAGCAGUGAUGAUGUGAAAUUUUUCCGGUGAGAUUAGACAGAGGUUGUUGCUCCCAGAGGAGUUAAUGAGGGGCUUAAUUAAUUCCCCACUAGGCUGAGGCUGAGAGGAUGGGAGAGCCGGUUGGAAGCUUCCCCUUUGGAUAAAGCCUGCGCCACGGAGUGAGGAGCAUUAAUGUCCGUAUCGAAGAUCUCCUUUGUCUUCGUCAUCAUUAGCGAUAUUAAUCUGGGUGGUUGGGGUUUCUGGUGGGUGGUUGAGGUUGUGUAUGUUGUAGUGCUGGUGGUAGUUUUAUCUCCGAUGACAUGCAACUCGCUAGCGUAAGUGGCUGGAUUCUUGCCUCUCCACUAUUCGGCGAUGUUGUUUAGGAAGAUAGUAGUAUCGUAAGGAUUUUGCGUUUGCGUGUCUUCAUGGGUGGAGAUUUCGUGAUUGAGUUUGGUAUUCAGCCAUUUUGGUUGUCCAGUACCCACGAGUGGGGUGUAGACAGAAGUGCUUACCACACUUGUCGAGAGAAA